rnacentral:rRNA from 1 species
AAACUUGAGUUAAUACCGGAUACGCCCUUUUGGGGGAAAGAUUUAUUGCCGAAAGAUCGGCCCGCGUCCGAUUAGNUAGUUGGUGUGGUAAUGGCGCACCAAGGCGACGAUCGGUAGCUGGUCUGAGAGGAUGAUCAGCCACACUGGGACUGAGACACGGCCCAGANUCNUACGGGAGGCAGCAGUGGGGAAUAUUGGACAAUGGGCGCAAGCCUGAUCCAGCCAUGCCGCGUGAGUGAUGAAGGCCCUAGGGUUGUAAAGNUCUUUCGCCAGGGACGAUAAUGACGGUACCUGGAUAAGAAGCCCCGGCUAACUUC